rnacentral:rRNA from 1 species
GAUCCUGGCUCAGGAUGAACGCUGACAGAAUGCUUAACACAUGCAAGUCGAUGGGGAAGUGGUGCUUGCACCAUGGUAACCAUGGCGGACGGGUGAGUAACGCGUAAGGAACUUGCCUGCGGGACCGGGAUAACAGCAGGAAACUGCUGACAAGACCGGAUAAGGUCAUUAAGCCGCAUAGCUUAGUGAUGAAAGGAGACGCCUGCGGAGAGCCUUGCGUCCUAUUAG